rnacentral:misc_RNA from 1 species
CUACUUAACUUUCUCAAUUUUCUGCAAUAAACAGGAGCUUAUUGAACGUAAGAAGCCAGCUCCAAAAAAUUGGCUUGCUCGCUCUUAAAUUGUUAAAAUCAAUAAAUAAAUAAAUAGAAUAAAGAAUUCAACUACUUUAAGCUAUGCCCAUUAACUUCCCCUAGAAAACUAAACCUAAAAGCUGUGACAUUGAUUCCUUCAAAUGAACACUUAAGCAGGCAGUAAUUUAAUUCAUGCUAACAGAUAAAUAAAUAAAUCAGUCAUAAAACCUGGAAUGAAGUGGCUCGAAGGGG